rnacentral:lncRNA from 1 species
UAUAAUUGUAUCAAAAUGGUUUAUAUAUAACUUGUGUUGGAAUUAGAGGGCAGUAAAAAUUUACAAACUGAAUAGCCAAUGUAUCCUGAAAUCGAAAUCGGAUUGGGUUGCUUGUUUUACUAGCCUCCUUGGAUCGUCCUUAUCUCAAUACUUUUAGAUCUCCCACAUAUCUCGUCUUCUCCCACGCCUACAUCUUAUGUCACAAAUCGGAUGUGUCGGACACGGAUCAGAUGCAAAUCGAAGAGGGCUAUAAGAGUCCUCUUCUAUAUCCACACUCCGAAAACUAGAAAACGUAGGCGGAAAUCCAAAGAGAAAGAAGAGAUCAUAGAUUCCUUUUCA